GGCGCAAAACAACUGUCAGCUCCUUUUUAAAACGUAUUAGCAGAGCAGUAUUGGACUGGCCUCGGUUUGAUAAGAAGUUAUCUAUGCUGUCGCUGGGUUCUCUCUGUGCUCAGCUUCAAAUCGUCUUCGGACUGUCUCUUGAGGCAAACAAAUCUCUAUUGAUCGACCUCAAAUCAGGUAGGACUACCCGCUGAACUUAA
rnacentral:misc_RNA from 1 species